AAAAGGCAAGAAGAAUUGCAAGUGAGAAGCUAAGAGAAGAUCUGGAAAUUAUGGGAAGCAACAUCAAGAAAGAACACAAUAUAUACAAGUUUACCCAAGGAUGGAGAGCACCAAUCAGUGCAUCUUAUUGGUCAGAUUACAGGUUUUAUUAAUCCCUUGAACAAAGAUGUAAGAGAUAAGCUUUAUGAGAUGGUGGGAUACGGGGUCACAAGUGUAUCAGAAAUGCGACGCCAUUAAAAAGUAUAUGUGGAUACCCAUAUGUUCCCCAAAGUUAAUAAACCUUCACUGACAGAUGCGGCAUAUUACCCAUCAGAUGUCACAAUAAGAAAGCACAAAUACUUAGCACAACUUUGUCUUAGGUAUUCCAAAAUAGACC